AACGAACGCUGGCGGUAGGCCUAAAACAUGCAAGUCGAACGAUGUAGCAAUACAUAGUGGCGCACGGGUGAGUAACGCGUGGGAACGUACCUCUAGGAUAGGAACAACGUCGGGAAACUGACGCUAAUACCUGAUAAUGUCUUCGGACCAAAGAUUUAUCGCCUAGAGAUCGGCCCGCGUUAGAUUAGCUAGUUGGUGGGGUAAAAGCUUACCAAGGCGACGAUCUAUAGCUGGUCUGAGAGGAUGAUCAGCCACACUGGGACUGAGACACGGCCCAGACUUCUACGGGAGGCAGCAGUUAGGAAUAUUGGACAAUGGGGGCAACCCUGAUCCAGCCAUGCCGCGUGUGUGACGAAGGCCUUAGGGUUGUAAAGCACUUUCGUCUGCGAAGAUAAUGACAGUAACAGAAGAAGAAGCUCCAGCUAAAUUCGUGCCAGCAGCCGCGGUAA
rnacentral:rRNA from 1 species